UUGCCAGCAUUUGGUUGGGCACUCUAAGGGGACUGCCGGUGAUAAGCCGAGAGGAAGGUGGGGAUGACGUCAAGUCCUCAUGGCCCUUACGGGCUGGGCUACACACGUGCUACAAUGGUGGUGACAGUGGGCAGCGAGACCGCGAGGUCGAGCUAAUCUCCAAAAGCCAUCUCAGUUCGGAUUGCACUCUGCAACUCGAGUGCAUGAAGUUGGAAUCGCUAGUAUAUCGCAGAUCAGCAUGCUGCGGUGAAUACGUUCCCGGGCCUUGUACACACCGCCCGUCACACCAUGGGAGUUGGUUCUACCCGAAGGUAGUGCGCUAACCGCAAGGAGGCAGCUAACCACGGUAGGGUCAGCGACUGGGGUGAAUCGUAACAAGGUAGCCGUAGGGACCU
rnacentral:rRNA from 1 species